AACCAGCAAAACCGAAGCUAUUGGAAAACUUUCCUGUGUGCCAAAACGAGAGAGCAUGUCUUCUUUCUCUAGAUUUUGGACGGCACAACGCCGAUCGUGUGGCCUAUGAACGAAAAACGGGAGAAGGGGAAACCGAUAUCCUUCGAGUGACACACACGCAUGCAUCUGCAUGCGUAUUCCGCUGAACCGAAAUUACCCAUCUCUCUCGAUCUCCCAUGAUUUUUCUGCUAUCACACUCAUCCGGGUGUUAAGCAUCCUCAGUCUGUCCAGAACUUUCACUGUGGAAGGAUGUGUUGGAGUGAUGUGUGAUUUCUUGUGCCCCGUACUUUGCUCGUUUACGUUUUGUGCCGUGUUCCUUCUUCUUCAAUUAUGGAAUGAUUUAUCCUUGUAAAUUUCCAAGUUACAGUGCACGCGCAUGUUAAUCGACGGUUGCCAACAUCCCGCAAAACGAUCGACGGAAGGAAAACGGUGUCCGGGUUUAAAAUAUAAAGAUUUCAUUACAUCUCUUUCGUAGAAGAGCGUACUUCAAGGACGCCUAGGAUACGGCUAAACAUGCGCAGCACCAGUCCGUGACGUCAUUUCCAGACAGGCGCCGGCUGAACACGCGUAGCACCAGUCGAGGAUAUCCUAGCGCAGAGGGUAGAAGGAAGAACGAGAGGAAGGGUAAUAGAAAGCAACCGCAGCAUUUGGAAGGGGUGAAGCAUCCUGCCGUAUACAGAGUGUGAGUGUGCCAAAACGCAUGUGGAAAGAGUAACACCAAUAAACAGCAUGCGAAAGUGUGCAUAAAGCAAAAAGAAAAAGCGUCACUACUACAACCAGCAAUCCGAAAAUAUAAGGGGAGGGAUAAAUACAAAUGUAUGCGUAAGCAGGACCAGCAAUCCAAGCAUUUGAAUGUGUGCGUCGGUUUGUGCCGUGCUGAAAGUUUUUACUUUAGCUGCUGCUAGUGUAAAAACUUAAGGAAAGCUUAAAGUAAAAAUUUUUUACACGGGUCACCUUCGGAAAUUGUUGGCUGGGAUACGGCAGGUAAGCAGUACAACUUCAGCUACCUGAUACGCAUACAUGUUUAUCGAAUACAAUUAUUCGAUUCGGCGCGGAAAAUUUUGGUAGAACGCCGGAACAAAAGGGCGCAGACUUUUUCAUGAGUUUGUAUGGCUUCGGCUGUUUUGGACUUCACGUCUGGGCGCUCGCUUUCGGUUCCCGUUAACCGUGUAUCUCGAGAACCGCCUGUAACUCUGCUAUUAGGGUUGCAGUAACAUCAAUUUUUAAUAUUUAUUGUUAUGAUAUCAAAUAGAUGUAUUAUUACAAGUAGUUUAGACUAAAAUAAUCUCAGAUGUGGCAUACUACGAUACGAUCAAAACCACUUUUGGAAUAAUAAUAGUACCAAUACUGCAGGAAAUACAGGAAACCGUAGAGAUGUAUGUUUAAGCCCAGAUCUGAAAUAAAAGAAUCAAUGUUAGAUGGAUUCUUAACAUUGAAAGUUUAUAUUUUACCCUUAGCGUAUAGUCCCAACUUCCGGUGGAUAGUGCUGUACCAUCCGGAGAUACUUGAAGACAAGAUACUUUGUUUUCAUGGCCGUAUAGAAGACAUACGCGUUGUGCCUUAAGGGUAUCCCACACGUUUACUGUAUAAUCAUUAUAACCGGCGAAUAGCAGACGUCCACUCACGGAAAAAUCAACACAA